rnacentral:rRNA from 2 species
UAUACGGCGAAACUGCGAAUGGCUCAUUAUAUAAGUUAUCGUUUAUUUGAUAGCACAUUACUACUUGGAUAACCGUGGUAAUUCUAGAGCUAAUACAUGCUAAAAAUCCCGACUUCGGAAGGGAUGUAUUUAUUAGAUUAAAAACCAAUGCCCUCUGGGCUCUCUGGUGAAUCAUGAUAACUGCUCGAAUCGCAGGGCCUCGUGCCGGCGAUGGUUCAUUCAAAUUUCUUCCCUAUCAACUUUCGAUGUUUGGGUAUUGGCCAAACAUGGUUACAACGGGUAACGGAGGGUUAGGGCUCGACCCCGGAGAAGGAGCCUGAGAGACGGCUACUACAUCCAAGGAAGGCAGCAGGCGCGCAAAUUACCCAAUCCCGACACGGGGAGGUAGUGACAAUAAAUACUGAUACAGGGCUCUUUCGGGUCUUGUAAUUGGAAUGAGUACAAUUUAAAUCCCUUAACGAGGAACAAUUGGAGGGCAAGUCUGGUGCCAGCAGCCGCGGUAAUUCCAGCUCCAAUAGCGUAUAUUAAAGUUGUUGUGGUUAAAAAGCUCGUAGUUGAACCUUGGGCCUGGCUGGCCGGUCCGCCUCACCGCGUGUACUGGUCCGGCCGGGCCUUUCCCUCUGUGGAACCCCAUGCCCUUCACUGGGCGUGGCGGGGAAACAGGACUUUUACUUUGAAAAAAUUAGAGUGCUCCAGGCAGGCCUAUGCUCGAAUACAUUAGCAUGGAAUAAUAGAAUAGGACGUGCGGUUCUAUUUUGUUGGUUUCUAGGACCGCCGUAAUGAUUAAUAGGGACAGUCGGGGGCAUCAGUAUUCAAUUGUCAGA